GAUGAACGCUGGCGGCGUGCCUAAUACAUGCAAGUCGAGCGAACGGACGAGAAGCUUGCUUCUCUGAUGUUAGCGGCGGACGGGUGAGUAACACGUGGAUAACCUACCUAUAAGACUGGGAUAACUUCGGGAAACCGGAGCUAAUACCGGAUGAUAUUUUGAACCGCAUGGUUCAAAAGUGAAAGACGGUCUUGCUGUCACUUAUAGAUGGAUCCGCGCUGCAUUAGCUAGUUGGUAAGGUAACGGCUUACCAAGGCAACGAUGCAUAGCCGACCUGAGAGGGUGGUCGCGCAGCAGGGGACAGGGAUACGGUCCGGAGUAAUGCGGGACGGAGCAGUGGCGGAUGUGAGGCAAUGGGCGUGAGUAUGAAGUAGCAAGUGCGCGGGAGAGAUGAAAGUCGUCGGAUCGUGAAAACCUGUUAAGAGGGCCAAACCUAUGUGGAAGGAAAAGUGCGGGGCGUGACGGUACCUAAACAGAAAGCAACGGCUAACUACGUG
rnacentral:rRNA from 1 species